UCCCACCUCUCAAUUGCUCGGUUUCACUCGAGAUACGCCUCGCCUUUUCCCUUACCCAAGCCGCCUCGCCGCCGUCGACAGCCAGCACCUCCAAAGCGCGCGCCGGCCACCUCCGUCUACUCGCGCCUCCCCUCCCACUUCCUCGCCCCGUUCCCGUCGCCGCCAGGAGCCACGACGCGCGCCGCCGCCAUCCCUGCUCGGCUCUCCCCUUCAGCACCCCGCGCCAGGCGCCUCCCCCUGACCUCAUUCGUCCCUGGCGUUUCCUCUCACCGUGCUUGGCGUCGACCUCUCCUCCGCGCAAGCCGCUUGCCUGGGAGGCUCCAGCUUGAUCUUCUCCACCGGAUCCCCACAGGCCACCGACUCCUCUCCGUUCUGCCCUCAAGCACGACGCCGCGGCUAACCCUAGCCUGCGGGGUUCGGCUCGGUUUCCGGCGUGAUUCCGCAGUGGUAGGCUCGUCUGGACACCUCCUCGCCGAUGCACGCUGGUGGUGGCGCAGGCCCCAUGGAUCAUGGUCCCCGCGCGCCCCUCGUCAUCGAGCUGUCGCCUCUAUUCUCGCAGCGGCGGCCACCUCACACUCCACGGAGGCGUCGUCCUCAGCCUCGACGUCUGCUGCCGCGCUCGAGGCCGUGCAGGUCCUCGUCGCCUCAGCUUGCUGCUGCUGCAACCCGUCCAGCCACGCAUCAGCUUGAAAAUUGGCUCUGCUUUAGAGGCUACAUCGUGUUGCCGACGUUGAUGUAUUGGAGGGAUGAGGCCAGGGUUUGAUGUGGAGCCAUGAAGAAGGUGGGAAACAGGGGCCAUGUGGGCGAGCUAGCAACAAUGUCCAUCCAUGAAGUGCGAGAAGGUAGUGGACGGGAGGCCAUGGGGCCUGUGGCCUGUGGGCAUGAGGUUGUUAGCAAAAUUUUAUCUCAUAGUAGCUUACUUUUAUAUUUCAGACAGUUAGAAAGUACAGUUCGUUCUCUGAGAUUUUGCAAGCAGAGUCGGUCUAUCUGGUACUCUGGGUAUUUCAUCACCCGAUCUUCUUGGUAUUUCAUCAAUUGAAGAAGGUAAUAAAUUUCAUAUCAUCACAGCGUUAUUGUGUUCCCAAACUUGAUUAAUUCUCGUGAUAUCUGCACCUUUGGUCAUCCAUGAGUUAACCCUUGAAGAACACAUUUUCGUCUAAAUUCAUGACUGGUAUAUUAACAGAAUCUAUUAGUCCCUGGACUAGAGUUUGAGCAUAAACGUGAGCUAAUACUAUGUUCAAAUUUUGCAAUAUCGUCCGGGAUAGCAUCAUGUAUAGGAAUCGAGUAGUUGACACUAAUAUUAGUGUGACUGUUGUUAUAGCUGUACAACCUUGUGCAUAUUUGUAGAUAUCGUGCCAUACACUGUAUAAUCUCAAUUCUAAUGUUGGUUUUAUAAGCUAUGAAUGAAGCUAUUCUUUUGUGUAGUUCUAUGUAGGAAUGGAUAAACCAGCGGUUGUAUAGUGUUAUGAAACCUGCCUGUGUUGGUUUAUUUACUGAAUUCACUGUCCUACUAUAAACGUCCAAAUUUAUAUGCCUAUGUUUCACUCCUACCUUUAAUGCUCCCAUGCACUGUUUUGUCAAAUUUCGAGUUACUCUAUCCCAAAAGGGUAUGUAUACUUUUAUAUAAUUCCCUGUAGGAACGAGUAAUCUAACUAUAUAGUCUGAUACAAUAUCUACUCUUCUUUUAUAUGUUUCUGUCCAAGCAGUGGAAACUGCAUAACAACAGAUAGGUGUGCUUUCUAUGAUUGCACACUCAUUUGUGACUUGGUUUAACAUAUGUAAAACAUAUGCACCAUAGUUGAUAUGAUGUUUCUAUCUUUUCACAUUGAGCAGUGUUCUCUGGAGUUCCUCUUAAUAAUACCUCUUGUUAUCUCUGGGAUAAUCCAAAUCACUUCCUUGUCUGUAAUUCCUUAUUUUGCAUGUAUCUUAAAUAUUACUCUAAGCUUCUUAUCAGCAGUAUGUGUGUUCAUUUUUGGCAUAAUCCAAAUCAGUUUCGUCCCAAUCUAUUAUGGUAUUUCCAUGAUCCUUUUGAAUUAUUGUUUGGUACAUUGUUACUUUCAGUGAUAUCCUCCCAAUCUAUUACAUAAUGGCGAUAGAACCUGGAAGAUGCAGUAUGUUAUUGGUCAUAUUUCUUUGUCCAUGAAUUAUCUUUACUGGUAUGUACCCAUAUGGCCAUGUGAUUCUGUUAUGACUGCCCAUGUUAUACCGAUGUCUGAUACAAGUAAAGGAACUGCAUUAUACCGAUGCCUGCUUGUGCAGACAGCUGCAACUCUACAUUUCAACAUUGAACUAAACUGAUAAGCUGAAGGCAUGUAGUAUUUUUUCUACCUUGUUUUACUGCUGAUGUGAGUUAAUCAUACUCUAUUCCUUGUGUUGAGCUUGCUGGCUCUGUAUUGAUUCAAUUUAUGUGUCACACCUCUCACCAGGGGAGGGAUCGGGCCAGCGGAGGCAUGAUGAUGGGGACCGACAUGUCUUCUCUGUGGAUGCCGUCACUGCCCCGAGUGGCGACCAGGGAGAUUUGGCCAGCAAAGAGGCAUGAUGAUGUGGACCGAGGUGUUUUCUUCACAGACCUGUCUCGGCGGUGGUGGGCAUCGUGUUGAGCAGGGCGGCAUUCUCGUGGUGGGUAUCGAUGUGAGGAAGCUGUUACUCUAUAUUUGCAUAAGGCAGAUGUGGAGGCUACCUGCCACAAGCCUCGAGACACAACAGUUUGGCUGGGCUCUCUCCCUUGAGCCAUGGUCGGCAACCCCAAGUUUGUUCUUCAGAUCAUCAGAAUAUUGGUUGGGAGUGACUAUCUCUUAUCCGGUUCAUAAUAUUCUAGCUGAUCUUCAGACAAAGUGAGGAGAGAAAGUAGCAGAUUGGAGAAGCUUCGGACCAUUGGUUACAGGUGUCGGAUUUUUUCUUCUCAAUCAUCUGCUGGAAUCAUUUUGGUUGUUUGUUCACAACAGAUACUUUAAUAACUACAAUAUUUGCUGGACUAUUUACACGGGGAAGUUGCUUCAAGGCUGUUAAACAGAGGAGAGUAAGUGACCAGACGGGACGAGGACGAUCUCCAUCAGUAGUAGUCGUCAACGAUGGCAGAUCCAGAUGGGUUGAGCCAGCAGUAUGCUCCCCAAAUCUACUCAUGUGACCAUUGGAACAAAGAUGUUCAGGAACUUGUUUUUCCAUCAUAGGCUUGAGAAGACCAAGUUUCCAAAAUCUGCUGAUGUGACCUUUGCAACAAAGAUGCUCUGAAACUUCCCAUCCUAGGCUUGUGAUUUUUAGACUUAGCUUGUAUUUUAUCUAUACAUAUUUCUUAAGUCAUUUUUCUAUUAAUGCGGCCAACGAUCUAUGUGGUUGCAUACCAUCUGUUUAUUAUAAUGCAUGUGGCAUACAUUGUGUUCUGUUAAUGUGCUCAUGUUCCUUUUAUGAAUUAUUAGAAAGUUGCAGGCACUGUAUAAUUCAAUCUCUAAUCCUGCCAAAAUUGCAGGAACAAUUUUCUUGUUUUGUGAACUGCAGAUC